GCGGGUGUAGUUCAAUGGUAGAAUUCCAGCCUUCCAAGCUGGCCGCGUGGGUUCGAUUCCCAUCACCCGCUCCA
rnacentral:tRNA from 9 species